rnacentral:tRNA from 1 species
GCGAAUGUCGUAUAGUGGUUAUUACAUAUGCUUGCCAAGCAUGAAACGGGGGUUCGAUUCCCCUCAUUCGCUCCA